rfam:Ipomoea nil DNA, scaffold: scaffold3056, cultivar: Tokyo-kokei standard.
CCGACUUUAGCUCAGUUGGUAGAGCAGAGGACUGUAGUUGGAGUACUAGUCUAAGCUGAAAUCCUUAGGUCGUUGGUUCGAAUCAGGCAGGUCGGA